UACGGGGGGGGGCAAGCGUUGUUCGGAAUUACUGGGCGUAAAGGGCGCGUAGGCGGCUUGGCAAGUGGAAGGUGAAAUCCCUCGGCUUAACCGAGGAACUGCCCUCCAAACUGCUUGGCUUGAGACCGGGAGAGGUAAGUGGAAUUCCCAGUGUAGCGGUGAAAUGCGCAGAUAUCAGGAGGAACACCGAUGGCGAAGGCAGCUCACUGGGACGGUACUGACGCUGAGGCGCGAAAGCGUGGGGAGCAAACAGG
rnacentral:rRNA from 1 species